GUCACAGGUCAGAGUCCUCACCUUGUUUCUGCUCGAUUGAGGCUCCGAACCCUGGUGCACCUUUUUGAGAAAGUAAGAGCAAGAGGAACCACAGCUGUCUCCCAUCAGUCCUCCCGGUUGUAAAGCUGAUAGAAAAUUACCUGGAGUUGCUGGCAGUCUUCUUGGCUGUUGACUGUGGAGAGUGUGAAAUACAGAGAAAGCACGACAGAGAGGCUCUGUUUGAACACUUGAAUUUGGUCACAUUUUAGGUCAGUUCUACAUAUAAGGUUAUCUUAAAUCGGCUGUACAUACGGGUUCCUGUUACGUACGCCAAUAGAGUUGCUUUAUAAUUUAAGUCAGCUGAGUUGAAUGUUUAGCUAAUAUUGUUCCUACUAUCAACUAAAUAUCAAUACAAUCCACAAGUCUGAAAAUUAGUACAAAACUAUACAUUUUUAUUGCCUGUUAGGUUUAAAUAACCUUAAUUGCUUAUGUGCUUUUUGAUGUGCUGUUUUCAGUACGAAAUGGAGAUUUUGAAGUGAAUGUUUUUAGAGAUAUCAAAAUGAUGACCUAGAUGACACUGUCUACCUACUUCAUCUCCUAUUAGAAAAUAAUAAAAUAAGUAACAAUUGCUUUUUUGGUUGGCUAUCUGUUAAGCAUAACAGAGUGUAUAAGAUAUAAGGGUCGAUAUGAAACAUCAACUGGAUAGCUAUCUGGAAUUUGGAUGGAAAAACCUUAAUACAUUGUUUCAGAGCAUAUAAUGCACUAUGGAAGGAUUCUCACUAUGCAUACACACAUUGGAACUAUAUUAAGAUUGACAUUUUUUGAAGUGUGAAAUAUGAAAAUCUUAAUAAACUAUUUCUACCUCAUUCGCACUUAGAUAUCCUUGGUGUUUUUUACCAACAACUUUCAUUGCUAUGAAAAUACCUAUUGAAGUUGUUGUGUAUCAGCAAUCUAUCACUUUUAUUGCUGAGCGGUGUUCCACUAUAUGGAUAUACCAGAAGUUUUUACCAUUCACCUGUUGAGGGAACUUUGAAUUACUUCCGGUUUUUGUCUGUUACAAAUUAAGCCAAUACGUACAGUGUUUUACAAAUUUUUGUAUGGAUAUACACUUUCUUUUCUGCUGAGUAAAUACCAAAGAGUGAAAUAGCUGGAUGCUAUGGUAGAUAAAUGCUUAGUUUUUAAAAUAAACUGCAAAAUUGUUUCUCAAAGUGAUGAAAGCAUUUUAUACUCUCGAAGGGAGAAUAUGAUACUACCACUUCUACAUACUUACCAGCACAUGGUGUGUUCAGCGUUCUGAAUUUUAGCUGUUAUAAUAAAUGUGCAAUGAUAUAUGAUUGGGUGUUGAUUUGUGUUUCUCUAGUAAUUCAUGAUAUUGAACAUUCAUGAGUUUGCUACUGUGUUAUUUUUCUUGUUGAAGUUUCUGAUCAAAUAUUUUGCCCAUUUUUGAAACUGAAUUGUUUUCUUGUUAUUGAAUUUUGAGAGUUCUUUAUAUAUUCUGGAUGCAAGUUUUUUAAUAGAGUAUAUGAUUUAUUAAUGCUUUCUCCCGGUCUGUGGCUUGUCUUUUCCUUUCUCUUAAUGAUCUCUGUUGAAGAGCAGAAAUUUUUAAUUGCGCUGAAGUCCAAUUUAUCAAUUUGUUCUUGAUGGAUCGUGCCUUGGUUUCACUUAUUGAAGCAAUUAUGCUGGUUGGAAGAAGUUAAACAAAAAAGAGUAUAUACUAUAUAACUCCGUAUGUAUAACUCUUGAAUAUUAAAACUUAUCUAUAGUGACAGAAAGUGGAUCAGUGAUUGCCUGGGGGGUUAGAAUAACAAAAGAAAUACAAGGAAACUUUGACAGCAUGAAAAUGAUCACUCUUGAUUGUGGCACACAUUUUUAGUGUAUAUUUGUGACACAACAUCAUAUUGUAAGUUUAAAUAUGUGCAGUGGAUUUUAUGUCAAUUAUACCUCAAUAGAGAUGAUAAAAAUAUAUACAAGACACAAGAUGAGUGAAUAUUCAUCUG
rnacentral:lncRNA from 1 species